UACGUAGGGUGCAAGCGUUGUCCGGAAUUAUUGGGCGUAAAGAGCUCGUAGGCGGCCUGUCGCGUCGGCUGUGAAAACCCGGGGCUCAACCCCGGGCCUGCAGUCGAUACGGGCAGGCUGGAGUCCGGUAGGGGAGACUGGAAUUCCUGGUGUAGCGGUGAAAUGCGUAGAGAUCCGGAGGAACACCAGAGGCGAAGGCGGCCGACUGGACCUGACCUGACGCUGAGGCGCGAAGGCGUGGGGAGCGAACGGG
rnacentral:rRNA from 1 species